rnacentral:tRNA from 1 species
GGGGUUGUGACUCAGUGGUAGAGUGCUUGCCUAGCAUGUGUGAGGCACUGGGUUCAAUUCUCAGCAUCAGCA